ensembl:lncRNA
GGCGGGCUAGAGGGCGGGGCCUGCGCGGCCAGGUGCUGAGGUACCUGAGGCGCGGCGGCGCGGAGACCCUGGCAGGUGUACCGCGUUUGCAUCUCUGUCUUUUGGAUUUUGCGGAGCACGCGGGCCACCGCUCAAUGUAAAUGUUUUAGUUCUAAAAAAGAAGGCGGUGCUGCGGCGGCAGGCGGGACGGGAGUUUGGGACAGUUUGGGAAGACGGAUCGGGUGCCGGCUGCCGACAGGGUGAACGCGCUUCGUGCCUCGGAACUCUGCUCUGAAAAAUGGAUAACACUGUGAACGGAGUGCUGGGUGUAUGUUACCUCAGCUGACAGGACAAGAGGAGAGAACCAGGGCUCUCAGGCUGCCUACCUGUGAGUCCCGAUGCUCCGUCUUUCGGCCUUUGCAGCUGUGGGCAGGCCCCACGGCCUCUCUGCCUCGGUCUCCUCACCUGUGAAAUGAGCAUCAUCUUUCAGGAUUUGAAACAGCUCAACUGGAAUUCCGUCACCUCCACCAGCUUUGUUCGUAGCGAUGCUCUCCAAGGCCCACUUGACCUCACAUUCCAGGAUAUGAAAGAACAGGUAAAAUCUAUUUUAAUGAUGUGUUUCAUUUAAGCCAAUGUAUUCAAACAUUUCUUUACCAUAGAAUCAAUGUUAAAAUCAUUGAGACAUUUUUACAGUCAUUUUUCCAUUUGAAGUCCUGGCAGUCCAACACAAACUUUACUUAAGCACUUCUCAAUCUGAUCACUGAAUUUUAAUUGAAAUACUUGAUCUGUGUUUUGAUUUCAUAAAAUUUACAACUGAAAACCUAGAUCCAUAUACCCAAAUUGUUCCAAACACACUUGAAAGUUUUCCCAUAGCUGAAUGAGGAUGGCUGUUAAAUUUCAAUUAAUUUAAAGGAAAUAAAAUGAAAUAUUCAGUUCCCUAGGGACACAUGUUGUUGUGACCCCAUGGACUUCGGCGCUCCAGCCUGCACGGUCGCCUGGCGUUUGCUCAGAUUCGUGUCCACCGAGUCGGCGAUGCCACGUACACUAGCUGCCUGCCAAGCGCUCGGCAGUCCUGUGAGCCAGUGUGUGCUGCGCCAGACAGUGUAGGGCUGCUGCUGCUAAGUCACUUCAGUCGUGUUCGACUCUGUGCGACCCCAUAGACGGCAGCCCACCAGGCUCCCCCGUCCCUGGGAUUCUCCAGGCAAGAACACUGGAGAAUGGAG